GUGGGGCGGCGGGAAGCUCAUCAGUGGGGCUACGAACUGAGUGCGCUUAGUCACUCUAUCCAAUGUCCCUUGGGAAGGUCUGAGACUAGGGCCAUCGAGCGGCCCUAACAGGGCCCUCCCUGAGCUUCGGGGAGGUGAGUUCCCAGAGAACGGGGCUCCGCGCGAGGGUAGACUGGGCAGGAGAUGCCAUGGACCCCGCCCUUGCGGAGGGGCCUGGCGGAUGCCUCCUUAGCCGGAGCUUGGAACAGACUCACGGCCAGCGAAGUGAGUUCAAUGGCUGAGGUGAGGUACCCCGCGUGGGGGCCUCAUAACCCAAUUCAGACUACUCUCCCGCCCGUCCUUUUUUAACGAAAUGCUGCUAAGAGAAUGCUAAGACAGCAAAAGAGAUGAUUUAUUGUACACGUUACAUUCAGCCACAACUGAGAAGAGAACUAGUCCAUAGUUAUCACAGGUCCAGGGCAAAGGAUCAAAAGGGACGGCUUUGAUACGAGCAAGGUUGAAGAUGGAGUCCACUGAGGAAGGAAAGCCUGGGUCUUCAGCACCACAUGUGUCAGCCCAGAAGCAGCAGUGUGAAAACCUCUAUAACAUCUGCAGACCCCUAAAAAUUAAGGAGACUUUGAUUUGGACAUUCUCAGUAGGAAUGGUUAAAGGCUAAUGGGACCAUAGA